rnacentral:tRNA from 1 species
GCCUUCGUAGUGUAGUGGUCAGCACGCUGGGCGCGUAUUCCGGAGGUCCGUGGUUCGAGUCCCGGCGAAUGCG